GAUGAACGCUGGCGGCGUGCCUAAUACAUGCAAGUCGAGCGAAUGGAUUAAGAGCUUGCUCUUAUGAAGUUAGCGGCGGACGGGUGAGUAACACGUGGGUAACCUGCCCAUAAGACUGGGAUAACUCCGGGAAACCGGGGCUAAUACCGGAUAACAUUUUGAACCGCAUGGUUCGAAAUUGAAAGGCGGCUUCGGCUGUCACUUAUGGAUGGACCCGCGCCGCAUUAGCUAGUUGGGGAGGUAACGGCUCACCAAGGCAACGAUGCGUAGCCGACCUGAGAGGGUGAUCGGCCACACUGGGACUGAGAAACGGCCCAGACUCCUACGGGAGGCAGCAGUAGGGAAUCUUCCGCAAUGGACGAAAGUCUGACGGAGCAACGCCGCGUGAGUGAUGAAGGCUUUCGGGUCGUAAAACUCUGUUGUUGGGGAAGAACAAGUGCUAGUUGAAUAAGCUGGCACCUUGACGGUACCUAACCAGAAAGCCACGGCUAACUACGUGCCAGCAGCCGCCGUAA
rnacentral:rRNA from 1 species